GCCAGUCUCGUCCUGUAGACAAAAUGGUGAAGGUCAGCGUAAAUGGAUUUGGCCGCAUUGGGCACCUGGUUAACAGGGCUGCCUUCUAUUCUGCAUCUAGCAAAGUGAAGAUUGUUGCCAUCAACAACCCCUUCAACUACAUGGUCUAUAUGUUCCAGCAUGACUCCACCCAUGGCAAAUUCACCCGCACAGUCAAGGCUGAGAAUGGGAGGCCUGUUUGUCAUCAUCAGGAAGCCCAUCAGCAUCUUCCAGGAGCAAGAUCCCACUAACAUCAAAUGGGGUGAUGCUGGUGCUGGGUAUGACAUGGAGUCUACCGGUGUCUUCCACCAUGGAGAAGGCUGGGGACCCACUCGAAGGGUGGGGCCAAACAGGUCAUCAUCUCUGCCUUUUCUGCCGAUGCCCCCAUGUUUGUGAUGGGUGUGAACCACAAGAAAUAUUACAACUCACUCAAGAUUGUCAGUAAUGCAUCCUGCACCACCAACUGCGUAGGCUCCUGACCAAGGUCAUCCAUGACAACUUUAGCAUCGUGGAAGGCUCAUGAGCACCACCCAUGCCAUCACUUCCACUCAAAAGACUAUGGAUGGUCCCUCUAGAAAACUGUGGUAUGAUGGCCAUGGGGCUGCCCAGAUCAUCCCUGCAUCCACUGGUACAGUGAAGGCUGUGGGCAAGGUCAUCCCAGAGCUGAACGGGAAGCUCAUUGGCAUAGCCUUCUGUGUUCCUACCCCUAAUGUAUGUGUUGUGGAUCUGACAUGCCGCCUGGAGAAACCUGUCAAGUAUGAUGACAUCAAGAAGGUGGUGAAGCAGGCAUUUGAGGGCCCACUGAAAGGCAUCCUGGGCUACACUGAGGACCAGGUUGUCUCCUGAGACUUCAACAGCAACUCCCACUCUUCCACCUUUGAUGCUGGGGCUGGCAUUGCUCUCAAUGACAACUUUGUAAAGCUCAUUUCCUGGUAUGACAAUGAAUGCAGCUACAGCAACAGGGUGGUGAACCUCAUGGCCUCCAUGGCCUCCAACGAGUAAGAGCCCUGGACCACCCACCUCAGCAAGGACACCGAGACCAAGAGAGAGGCCCUCGGUUGCUGAGGAGUCCCUGUCCCAACUCAGCCCCCAACACUGAGCAUCUCCCUCACAAUUUCCAUCCCAGACCCCCAUAAGAACAAGAAGGGCCUAGGGAGCCCUCCCUACUCUCUUAAAUACCAUCAGUAAAGUUCAUU